UACGUAGGGUCCGAGCGUUAAUCGGAAUUACUGGGCGUAAAGCGUGCACAGGCGGUUUUGUAAGCCAGAUGUGAAAGCCCCGGGCUCAACCUGGGAACUGCAUUUGUGACUGCAUGGCUAGAGUUUGGCAGAGGGGGGUAGAAUUCCACGUGUAGCAGUGAAAUGCGUAGAUAUGUGGAGGAACACCGAUGGCGAAGGCAGCCCCCUGGGUCAAGACUGACGCUCAUGCACGAAAGCGUGGGGAGCAAACAGG
rnacentral:rRNA from 1 species